rnacentral:rRNA from 1 species
AUUGAACGCUGGCGGCAUGCUUUACACAUGCAAGUCGAACGGUAACAGGCCGCAAGGUGCUGACGAGUGGCGAACGGGUGAGUAAUGCAUCGGAACGUGCCCAGUCGUGGGGGAUAACUACUCGAAAGAGUAGCUAAUACCGCAUACGAUCUAUGGAUGAAAGCGGGGGACCGUAAGGCCUCGCGCGAUUGGAGCGGCCGAUGUCAGAUUAGGUAGUUGGUGGGGUAAAGGCUCACCAAGCCAACGAUCUGUAGCUGGUCUGAGAGGACGACCAGCCACACUGGGACUGAGACACGGCCCAGACUCCUACGGGGGGCAGCAGUGGGGAAUUUUUGACAAUGGGCGCAAGCCUGAUCCAGCAAUGCCGCGUGCAGGAAGAAGGCCUUCGGGUUGUAAACUGCUUUUGUACGGAACGAAACGGCUCUGGUUAAUACCCGGGGCUAAUGACGGUACCGUAAGAAUAAGCACCGGCUAACUACGUG